AUUGAACGCUGGCGGCAGGCCUAACACAUGCAAGUCGAACGAGUGGCGGACGGGUGAGUAAUGUUUGGGAAACUGCCCGAUGGAGGGGGAUAACUACUGGAAACGGUAGCUAAUAACGCAUACCAUGGGAAGUGCCCAGAUGGGAUUAGAUAGUAGGUGGGGUAAUGGCUCACCUAGGCGACGAUCCAUAGCUGGACUGGGAGGUUGAACAGCCACACUGGAACUGCGCCACGGUCCAGAUUCCUACGGUAGGCAGCAGUGGGGAAUAUUGCACAAUGGGCGCAAGCCUGAUGCAGCCGUGCCGCGUGUAUGAAGAAGGCCUUCGGGUUGUAAAGUACUUUCAGCGGGGAGGCGUUACCCGCAGAAGAAGCACCGGCUAACUCCGUGCCAGCAGCCGCGGUAAUUC
rnacentral:rRNA from 1 species